rnacentral:rRNA from 1 species
GAAUGCUGACAUAAGUAACGAUAAAGCGGGUGAAAAGCCCGCUCGCCGGAAGACCAAGGGUUCCUGUCCAACGUUAAUCGGGGCAGGGUGAGUCGACCCCUAAGGCGAGGCCGAAAGGCGUAGUCGAUGGGAAACGGGUUAAUAUUCCCGUACUUGGUGUUACUGCGAAGGGGGGACGGAGAAGGCUAUGUUGGCCGGGCGACGGUUGUCCCGGUUUAAGCGUGUAGGCUGACUUUCCAGGCAAAUCCGGAAAGUCAAGGCUGAGGCGUGACGACGAGGCACCACGGUGCUGAAGCAACAAAUGCCCUGCUUCCAGGAAAAGCCUCUAAGCAUCAGGUAACAUCAAAUCGUACCCCAAACCGACACAGGUGGUCAGGUAGAGAAUACCAAGGCGCUUGAGAGAACUCGGGUGAAGGAACUAGGCAAAAUGGUGCCGUAACUUCGGGAGAAGGCACGCUGACACGUAGGUGAAGUGAUUUACUCAUGGAGCUGAAGUCAGUCGAAGAUACCAGCUGGCUGCAACUGUUUAUUAAAAACACAGCACUGUGCAAACACGAAAGUGGACGUAUACGGUGUGACGCCUGCCCGGUGCCGGAAGGUUAAUUGAUGGGGUUAUCCUCGCGGAGAAGCUCCUGAUCGAAGCCCCGGUAAACGGCGGCCGUAACUAUAACGGUCCUAAGGUAGCGAAAUUCCUUGUCGGGUAAGUUCCGACCUGCACGAAUGGCGUAAUGAUGGCCAGGCUGUCUCCACCCGAGACUCAGUGAAAUUGAACUCGCUGUGAAGAUGCAGUGUACCCGCGGCAAGACGGAAAGACCCCGUGAACCUUUACUAUAGCUUGACACUGAACAUUGAGCCUUGAUGUGUAGGAUAGGUGGGAGGCUUUGAAGUGUGGACGCCAGUCUGCAUGGAGCCAACCUUGAAAUACCACCCUUUAAUGUUUGAUGUUCUAACGUGGACCCGUAAUCCGGGUUGCGGACAGUGUCUGGUGGGUAGUUUGACUGGGGCGGUCUCCUCCCAAAGAGUAACGGAGGAGCACGAAGGUUGGCUAAUCCUGGUCGGACAUCAGGAGGUUAGUGCAAUGGCAUAAGCCAGCUUGACUGCGAGCGUGACGGCGCGAGCAGGUGCGAAAGCAGGUCAUAGUGAUCCGGUGGUUCUGAAUGGAAGGGCCAUCGCUCAACGGAUAAAAGGUACUCCGGGGAUAACAGGCUGAUACCGCCCAAGAGUUCAUAUCGACGGCGGUGUUUGGCACCUCGAUGUCGGCUCAUCACAUCCUGGGGCUGAAGUAGGUCCCAAGGGUAUGGCUGUUCGCCAUUUAAAGUGGUACGCGAGCUGGGUUUAGAACGUCGUGAGACAGUUCGGUCCCUAUCUGCCGUGGGCGCUGGAGAAUUGAGGGGGGCUGCUCCUAGUACGAGAGGACCGGAGUGGACGCAUCACUGGUGUU